AAUAGCGUAUAUUAAAGUUGCUGCAGUUAAAAAGCUCGUAGUUGGAUUUCUGGGCAUCAGUUUCUGGCCGGCCACGGUUUCGUGUGUUAGUGCUUGAAGCUUUGUCCAUCCUUCCAAUUGCUAGUCACUAUUCUUUAUUGAAUGGUGAUUAGUAUUGGAUCUUUUACUUUGAAAAAAUUAGAGUGUUUCAAGCAGGCUUUAUGCUAUGAAUACAUUAGCAUGGAAUAAUAAUUUAGGACUUCGGUUCUAUUUUGUUGGUUUCUAGGACUGAAGUAAUGAUUGAUAGGGAUAGUUGGGGGUGCUAGUAUUCAGCGGCCAGAGGUGAAAUUCUCGGAUUCGCUGAAGACUAACUUAUGCGAAAGCAUUCACCAAGGAUGUCUUCUUUAAUCAAGAACGAAAGUUGGGGGAUCGAAGACGAUCAGAUACCGUCGUAGUCUCAACCAUAAACUAUGCCGACUAGGGAUGAGUGAACGUUGCAUUUUCGACUUCAUUCGCACCUUAUGAGAAAUCAAAGUCUUUGGGUUCCGGGGGGAGUAUGGUCGCAAGGCUGAAACUUAAAGGAAUUGACGGAAGGGCACCACCAGGAGUGGAGCCUGCGGCUUAAUUUGACUCAACACGGGAAAACUUACCAGGUCCAGACACAGUAAGGAUUGACAGAUUGAAGAUCUUUCUUGAU
rnacentral:precursor_RNA from 1 species